CCAGAUAUGAUAUAGAUCAUCUUUGUCUAAGGUCAGUUAAAGCACAAGACUUCACAUCUGCUUGGUGAAAGAGGGCACAGAUCAAAAGUCCAUAAAACGAAGUUGGGCAAUCUAAUCUAUUUUAGAAGGUUUCCACUUUUACCACAGCCACAAAUGCUUUUUCGUACAAAUUCAUGAAAACAAAAAUGUACUUUUUGGUCGUAAUUUAAGGUUAGGGUUAGGCAUAAGGUUCGUUUAAAAUCACAUUUUAAGAAGAUACGUUGUAGAAAUGGGCGGGAAUUAUGACUUUGUGGCUGUGGUAACUAGUGACGACCAUUUUAGAGGUUUGUAUCCUUCCAUAACAUGCUAGUGGGCCCUCUUGUCAACUAAAAUGGUCUGUUCGUCCAACCGGCCUCACAACCACAGAUCACGUGUAACCACGCCAGCCCAGGACCUCCACGUCCAGCUUCUUCACCUGCGGGAUCAUCAGAGACCAGCUACUCGGACAGCUGAUGGAACUGAGGAGCAUUUCUUUCUGUAAUAAAGCCUUUUUUUGAGGGGAAAAACUCAUUCUGAUUGGCUGAGCCUGGCUCCCCAGUGGGUGGGCCUAUAUGCCCUCACAGGCCCACCCAUGGCUGCGCCCCUGCCCAUUCAUGUGAAAUCCAUAGAUUAGAGCCUAAUGAAUUUAUUUCAAUUGACUUGUUUCCUUAUAUGAACUUUAACUCAGUAAAAGCAUUGAAAUUGUUGCAUGUUGCGUUUAUAUUCUUGUUCAGUAUACAUGAAUUAAGACAAAAUCCAGAGGGAUGGAUACCAGCUCCAGUUUUAUAAAAGUUUUACUAAAAGAAGUAUUAUUUGUACAGAGGCAUUCGUAAAAAGUGCAAACUAACCAUGAUAACUAUCUUUUUCUUCAUAAGUUCAUUUCAUAUCACACAGAUAUAAAUGCAUCCAACGCUGAACAGUGAUGUGGGACAAUAAGACACCAAGUAGAGGCCAGUGGCUCUGUGUCAACAUUGAAGGCAAUGAACGCAAACAAAUUCAUCCCAUAUUGAACAGCUGCUAAUAGUCUUUGAGGAGGAACACAACGAUAACCUCAUCAUACUGAAACCAGAUACUAUUUCUUAGGUAACUUAAAUAGGUAACAUGUAAGUGUUCAUUAAUUAUUCUAGCAUAUGGUGGUCAGGUCAUUUCUCAGAGGCCAAAAGGCAUGGGGAUACUGUAGUAAAAUGUUGAUGACUAAAUAAAAUAUGCUUUUGUCUGAGAGUGUACAGAAAUAGCUAAGUCAUGAACAUAGUAAAAAAAAAUUCAGAUAAAUACUUUUCUUGAUCUAAACUGUAUCAAUUAGUUUUUCCCCCUGAUAUUUCACAUUGAAAAACAAAUUGUGAGAAAUAUCACCUCCCUUUAUGAAUUCCAUUUGUAAAGCAUUUUCAAACUGCAUUUAAUAAGUCUAUCAAUUCAUUUGUUUAAUGUCAAUGAUACUCACCCAGACUUAAGAUAGAAUUAUAUAUAAAGGUCUACUUGUUUAUGCAUUUUAAAUGAUAUGAAUUGGCUGUAGGUCAAAAGACUAUGAGCAGCUGUAUCUGAAUUUCUAACCCUACAUCAACAGCCUGAAAGUAAACAAAAACGAAAUAAACCAAUUCAUGACAAUAGGAUUUUAGCUGCCGAAAAAUACAGUAUAUUGUCCUUGUCAGCUUGAUGAUUUUAAAGAAACCAUUCUUGCAAAAUCUAAGCAAGUAUGCUCAAUAUUCUCUGGUAACAUUGGGAUUUAACUUUGAUUUAAAGAGAAAAGCUCCUUCAUUUAAUAUGAUAAUAAAGCAGACUUGAGUGUAAAAAAAACACCCACAACUAAUGCUUUAUCAUUUGAUACUUGUCCAGUUUACUCUGUGUUUUUUUGCUCAGGGACAAACACUUUCCACUUUGACAAAAAACAUUAAAACAUUCCAUCAACUCUAGUUGAUAUCUUUUAAAAAAAGAAGACAUCUCAGAGAACAGUUUGUGUAUAAACAUGAGCAUGAGCAUAUUUCCACAAACCUGUCACAAUUAGUCGAAGCAAAAAAUGAAAUUAUAAAUGUGAUAUUAUUUAUGCAUUUUUCAACUUUUGUCAACAAAUGAUAUCAUUACUGUACAAAUGAAAGAGAAAAGGCACAGCAUGACCAUUAGCUCAGGUGGUGCCCAAACUAGCCGGGCCCACCCUAAACUAGCCUCCCUUUUAGGCGCCGUUAGGAUGGGAUUCGAUUAGUUGGGUCUACACCUGAGGAGCUCAAGCGAGAGCAGACAGAAAUACAUUAAUUCCAGAACACCUCAAACUCUUUUUCAGUUUCUAGGUUUAUAGACAUUUAUAAAGUCGCCAUGCCAAUUGGAAGUCUUUCAACUAUAUUCCAUUAGUUCAGAUGGACAACCAUCUCUGCAGUACUCCACUAAUCAGGCCUUUAUGGUAGAAUGGCCAGACUCUGUCUAAAGAGUUGUAUCCAAGUAACUAGGUUUCUUGAAGACCAUAACUUCAAUUUGAAAAAACUAAAGUUGCACAAACUAAAGUUGCAGCUGUAUUUUAAGUCCUCUGGCAAGUCAUCUGGAUAUGUGGUAAGGCUUUCUUUUGAUUAAAAAUACAUUGUUUAAGGCAAAGAGGGGUCUGUAGAGAACUAAGUAUUGAAAGCAAAGAUAUUCCCAGAGGCAUGAUUAACAUGAACAGAAUAUCGCAAGUUUUCAUACUUCACCC